rnacentral:rRNA from 1 species
AACGAACGCUGGCGGCAUGCCUAACACAUGCAAGUCGAACGAACUCUUCGGAGUUAGUGGCGCACGGGUGCGUAACGCGUGGGAAUCUGCCCUUGGGUACGGAAUAACUCAGAGAAAUUUGUGCUAAUACCGUAUAAUGACUUCGGUCCAAAGAUUUAUCGCCCAAGGAUGAGCCCGCGUAAGAUUAGCUAGUUGGUGGGGUAAAAGCCUACCAAGGCGACGAUCGGUAGCUGGUCUGAGAGGAUGAUCAGCCACACUGGAACUGAGACACGGUCCAGACUCCUACGGGAGGCAGCAGUGGGGAAUAUUGGACAAUGGGCGCAAGCCUGAUCCAGCCAUGCCGCGUGUGUGAAGAAGGCC